UACGUAGGGUGCAAGCGUUGUCCGGAAUUAUUGGGCGUAAAGAGCUCGUAGGCGGUCUGUCGCGUCUGCUGUGAAAACUCAGGGCUUAACCCUGAGCUUGCAGUGGGUACGGGCAGACUAGAGUGCGGUAGGGGAGACUGGAAUUCCUGGUGUAGCGGUGAAAUGCGCAGAUAUCAGGAGGAACACCGGUGGCGAAGGCGGGUCUCUGGGCCGUAACUGACGCUGAAGCGCGAAAGCAUGGGGAGCGAACGGG
rnacentral:rRNA from 1 species